UCACUGCAUUGAAUGAUCCUUCUGAGGCUGUUCUAUCAUCUUAGACAUGAAGACUUCUACUGCAGCUUGGGGUUUCAUCUCAUGUCUAUGGAUUUUAAACAUAGUUUUAGCCCAAUAUAUGAGAAGAUUCUUAAUAAGGCUUUUGUUCCAGCCAUCUGUUUGUAUGUGAAUGGAGCAGACAUGGGUAUAUCACGAGGAUGACUGACAGAUGGAAUUAUCUUUGAAAGGAUAUCAAGCUGGACUUCUUCGACUGGAUAUUUAACAGCAAACUUUCAGAUUCAGUCUUUAGUGUAUUUAUUAAGACGUGCGGAUUCUUUCCAUUACAAAAGGAUAUUGUCAGGAGGCUGAAUGAAGUGCAGAUCCACUAACCUUUGGGAAACCCAUCCGUCUCACGGUCAAUCCAAAAGAUGUACCGAAAACUCCUCCGUUUCUGUCCAUCUUGUCCCCUAUCAAGGACGAUGAACCGGAUAUUUGUCUGGCCGCCGGGUUCUUUCCUCAAGAAAAUAAAAUGACUUUGACUUUGGAAGAUAACAAGGAAGUGGAUCUUCAAACCAGCAAUGCGCCUUUAUCCAGCUCGACCAGAAGAUAUUAUUAUGCUGGAUUCAGUGGUAAAUCAAAAAUCCAAACAUGCAAAAUGGAUGGAGAAAACACAGACAAAACUGACAAAACUGACCCUACUGAAUCAACAGUAGAUCAACCCGAACCAACGACUCCAAAUCCUUGUGAAACAAGUCAAACUAAAACUUCUGCCUCAGAGUUCAUAGACACUGGUGUUCCAAAAAUGAACUUCAUGAAUCUUCUUGUGACAGGUCUGAGAAUUCUGCUCGCUAAAUGUGUUG